rnacentral:rRNA from 1 species
UACGGGGGGAGCAAGCGUUGUUCGGAUUUACUGGGCGUAAAGGGCGCGUAGGCGGCCAGCACAAGUCAGUUGUGAAAUCUCCGGGCUUAACUCGGAAAGGUCAACUGAUACUGUGCGGCUAGAGUGCAGAAGGGGCAACUGGAAUUCUCGGUGUAGCGGUGAAAUGCGUAGAUAUCGAGAGGAACACCUGCGGCGAAGGCGCCGCUCUGGGCCGAGACUGACGCUGAGGAGCGAAAGCGUGGGUAGCAAACAGG